CAUCACUGAUCAUUAGAUAAUGCAAAUCAAAACCACAAUGAGAUACCAUCUCAUGUCACUCUGAAUGGCGAUCAUUAGAAAGUUAAGAAACAAUAGAUGCUGGUGAGGUAUGGAGAAAUGGGAACGCUAUUACACUGUUGGUGGGAAUGUAAAAUAGUUCAACCAUUAUGGAAGGCAGUGUGGCGAUUCCUCAAGGAUCUAGAACCAGAAAUACCAUUUCACUCGGCAAUCCCAUUUCUGGGUAUAUACCCAAAGGAAUAUAAAUCAUUCUGCUAUAAAGACACAUGCACACGUAUGUUUAUUGCAACACUAUUUACAAUAGUGAAGACUUGGAACAAACCCAAAUGCUCAUCAAUGAUAGACUGGGUAAAGAAAAUGUGGCACAUAUACACCAUGGAAUACUAUGCAGCCAUAAAAAAGAUUGAGAUCAUGUCAUUUGCAGGGACAUGGAUGAAGCUGGAAGCCAUCAUCCUCAGCAAAUUGGCACAGGAACAGAAAACCAAACACCACAUGUUCUCACUCAUAAGUGGGAGUUGAACAAUGAGAACACAUGGACACAGGGAGGGGAACAACAUACACCAGAGCCUGUCUAGGGUGGAGGGCAAGAAGAGGGAGAGUAUUAGGACAAAUAGCUAAUGCAUGCCAGGCUUAAAACCUAGAUUACGGGUUGAUAGGUGCAGCAAACCACCAUGACACAUGUAUACCUAUGUAAUAAACCUGCAUGUUCUGCACAUGUAUCCCAGAAAUUAAAGUACAAUUUUAAAAAAAGUAAACUGAUAU
rnacentral:lncRNA from 1 species